rnacentral:rRNA from 2 species
GGGUUGUGAGGUUAAGCGACUAAGCGUACACGGUGGAUGCCCUGGCAGUCAGAGGCGAUGAAGGACGUGCUAAUCUGCGAAAAGCGCCGGCGAGGUGAUAUGAACCCUUGACCCGGCGAUGUCCGAAUGGGGAAACCCAGUGCAAUCCGUUGCACUAUCGUUAGCUGAAUACAUAGGUUAACGAGGCGAACCGGGGGAACUGAAACAUCUAAGUACCCCGAGGAAAAGAAAUCAACCGAGAUUCCCCCAGUAGCGGCGAGCGAACGGGGAGCAGCCCGGAGUCUGAAUCAGCUUGUGUGUUAGUGGAACGGUCUGGAAAGUCCGACGGUACAGGGUGAUAGUCCCGUACACGAAAAUGCACAUGCUGUGAACUCGAAGAGUAGGGCGGGACACGUGGUAUCCUGUCUGAAUAUGGGGGGACCAUCCUCCAAGGCUAAAUACUCCUGACUGACCGAUAGUGAACCAGUACCGUGAGGGAAAGGCGAAAAGAACCCCGGCGAGGGGAGUGAAAAAGAACCUGAAACCGUGUACGUACAAGCAGUGGGAGCCUCUUUAUGGGGUGACUGCGUACCUUUUGUAUAAUGGGUCAGCGACUUAUAUUCUGUAGCAAGGUUAACCGUAUAGGGGAGCCGAAGGGAAACCGAGUCUUAACUGGGCGUUAAGUUGCAGGGUAUAGACCCGAAACCCGGUGAUCUAGCCAUGGGCAGGUUGAAGGUUGGGUAACACUAACUGGAGGACCGAACCGACUAAUGUUGAAAAAUUAGCGGAUGACCUGUGGCUGGGGGUGAAAGGCCAAUCAAACCGGGAGAUAGCUGGUUCUCCCCGAAAGCUAUUUAGGUAGCGCCUCGUGAACUCAUCUUCGGGGUAGAGCACUGUUUCGGCUAGGGGGCCAUCCCGGCUUACCAACCCGAUGCAAACUACGAAUACCGAAGAAUGUUAUCACGGGAGACACACGGCGGGUGCUAACGUCCGUCGUGAAGAGGGAAACAACCCAGACCGCCAGCUAAGGUCCCAAAGUCAUGGUUAAGUGGGAAACGAUGUGGGAAGGCACAGACAGCCAGGAUGUUGGCUUAGAAGCAGCCAUCAUUUAAAGAAAGCGUAAUAGCUCACUGGUCGAGUCGGCCUGCGCGGAAGAUGUAACGGGGCUAAACCAUGCACCGAAGCUGCGGCAGCGACACUAUGUGUUGUUGGGUAGGGGAGCGUUCUGUAAGCCGUUGAAGGUGGCCUGUGAGGGUUGCUGGAGGUAUCAGAAGUGCGAAUGCUGACAUAAGUAACGAUAAAGCGGGUGAAAAGCCCGCUCGCCGGAAGACCAAGGGUUCCUGUCCAACGUUAAUCGGGGCAGGGUGAGUCGACCCCUAAGGCGAGGCCGAAAGGCGUAGUCGAUGGGAAACAGGUUAAUAUUCCUGUACUUGGUGUUACUGCGAAGGGGGGACGGAGAAGGCUAUGUCAGCCGGGCGACGGUUGUCCCGGUUUAAGCAUGUAGGCGGAGGUUCCAGGUAAAUCCGGUACCUUAUUAACGCUGAGGUGUGAUGACGAGGCACUACGGUGCUGAAGUGAUAAAUGCCCUGCUUCCAGGAAAAGCCUCUAAGCAUCAGGUAACACGAAAUCGUACCCCAAACCGACACAGGUGGUCAGGUAGAGAAUACCAAGGCGCUUGAGAGAACUCGGGUGAAGGAACUAGGCAAAAUGGUGCCGUAACUUCGGGAGAAGGCACGCUGAUGUGUAGGUGAAGCCCCUGCGGGCGGAGCUGAAAUCAGUCGAAGAUACCAGCUGGCUGCAACUGUUUAUUAAAAACACAGCACUGUGCAAACACGAAAGUGGACGUAUACGGUGUGACGCCUGCCCGGUGCCGGAAGGUUAAUUGAUGGGGUUAGCGGCAACGCGAAGCUCUUGAUCGAAGCCCCGGUAAACGGCGGCCGUAACUAUAACGGUCCUAAGGUAGCGAAAUUCCUUGUCGGGUAAGUUCCGACCUGCACGAAUGGCGUAAUGAUGGCCAGGCUGUCUCCACCCGAGACUCAGUGAAAUUGAACUCGCUGUGAAGAUGCAGUGUACCCGCGGCAAGACGGAAAGACCCCGUGAACCUUUACUAUAGCUUGACACUGAACACUGGUCCUUGAUGUGUAGGAUAGGUGGGAGGCUUUGAAGCGUGGACGCCAGUCUGCGUGGAGCCAACCUUGAAAUACCACCCUUUAAUGGCUGGUGUUCUAACGUGGACCCGUAAUCCGGGUUGCGGACAGUGUCUGGUGGGUAGUUUGACUGGGGCGGUCUCCUCCCAAAGAGUAACGGAGGAGCACGAAGGUUGGCUAAUCCUGGUCGGACAUCAGGAGGUUAGUGCAAUGGCAUAAGCCAGCUUGACUGCGAGCGUGACGGCGCGAGCAGGUGCGAAAGCAGGUCAUAGUGAUCCGGUGGUUCUGAAUGGAAGGGCCAUCGCUCAACGGAUAAAAGGUACUCCGGGGAUAACAGGCUGAUACCGCCCAAGAGUUCAUAUCGACGGCGGUGUUUGGCACCUCGAUGUCGGCUCAUCACAUCCUGGGGCUGAAGUAGGUCCCAAGGGUAUGGCUGUUCGCCAUUUAAAGUGGUACGCGAGCUGGGUUUAGAACGUCGUGAGACAGUUCGGUCCCUAUCUGCCGUGGGCGCUGGAGAAUUGAGGGGGGCUGCUCCUAGUACGAGAGGACCGGAGUGGACGCAUCACUGGUGUUCGGGUUGUCAUGCCAAUGGCACUGCCCGGUAGCUAAAUGCGGAAGAGAUAAGUGCUGAAAGCAUCUAAGCACGAAACUUGCCCCGAGAUGAGUUCUCCCUGAGACUUUAAGUCUCCUGAAGGAACGUUGAAGACGACGACGUUGAUAGGUCGGGUGUGUAAGCGCAGCGAUGCGUUGAGCUAACCGAUACUAAUGAACCGUGAGGCUUAACCUUACAACGCCGAAGGUGUUU